rnacentral:rRNA from 1 species
CGCCCUUCAGAGGGGGGAAACAGUUGGAAACGACUGCUAAUACCGCAUACGAUCUAACCUCGGCAUCGAGGAUAGAUGAAAGGUGGCCUCUAUUUAUAAGCUAUCACUGAAGGAGGGGAUUGCGUCUGAUUAGCUAGUUGGAGGGGUAACGGCCCACCAAGGCGAUGAUCAGUAGCCGGUCUGAGAGGAUGAACGGCCACAUUGAGACUGAGACACGGCCCAG